rnacentral:lncRNA from 1 species
UUCAAUAGCAUUAGGUCAGCUUCCAAUUUUAACACGCUGCAACUCACGUACAUUGGUGUUUUGUCAUCCUUUCUCAUCAGCUCCAAUUUCUAUUGAUUUCUUGCAUCAAGGAAUUCUGGCACCCAAUCACCUAGCACCUAGUCUAGGCAUCUACCACAUCAUCAGCAACAAACAUUUCUUGCAUGAUUUCAUUAACAUUUGCAUAGCCAUCACCAUGCUUAUUCAAAAUCUUAUAUUUUUUCAUGAAACCUCUAACCAGCAAAUGAAAUGAUCUGCUCGAUGUUGCAAAACUGCUUUUAAUUUUCGCAAUCAAUGCAUGGGCAAUAUACAUAUCCAUCAUCUUAAGGAUUAUUUGUGAUGUAUGCCUUGUUGGUGGCCUUCACAAAGGAAUCAAUGCUGUUGACAAACUUCAAAUCUCUAGCAUGCGAACCGUACAUCUAUCCUCC